GAUCAUUACAAGUUGACCCCGGCCCUCGGGCCGGGAUGUUCACAACCCUUUGUUGUCCGACUCUGUUGCCUCCGGGGCGACCCUGCCUCCGGGCGGGGGCCCCGGGUGGACAUUUCAAACUCUUGCGUAACUUUGCAGUCUGAGUAAAUUUAAUUAAUAAAUUAAAACUUUCAACAACGGAUCUCUUGGUUCUGGCAUCGAUGAAGAACGCAGCGAAAUGCGAUAAGUAAUGUGAAUUGCAGAAUUCAGUGAAUCAUCGAAUCUUUGAACGCACAUUGCGCCCCCUGGUAUUCCGGGGGGCAUGCCUGUUCGAGCGUUAUUUCACCACUCAAGCCUCGCUUGGUAUUGGGCGACGCGGUCCGCCGCGCGCCUCAAAUCGACCGGCUGGGUCUUUCGUCCCCUCAGCGUUGUGGAAACUAUUCGCUAAAGGGUGCCGCGGGAGGCCACGCCGUAAAACAACCCCAUUUCUAAGGUUGACCUCGGAUCAGGUAGGGAUACCCGCUGAACUUAAGCAUAUCAAUAAGCGGAGGAAAGGGCGAAUU
rnacentral:rRNA from 1 species